rnacentral:tRNA from 1 species
GCUCGCUUAGCUCAGUGGCAGAGCAACGGUCUUAUGAGCCGUGGGUCGGCGGUUCGAUCCCGUCAGCGAGCA